AACCCAUGGUGAGGGCACCUUUUCAGUAAGUCUUUGUAUCUCUCCCAUGCAUCGAAAAGAGUUUCUAAGUCCAUCUACAUAAACAAAGAGAUAUCAUUACGUAAUUU
rnacentral:snoRNA from 1 species